rnacentral:lncRNA from 1 species
AUCAGACAAAGACCUGACAGCUUUUGCGGUGAAAUAAUCUGCUCUGUUCAGAAACCAGAGGAAAAACCCUCACAGCUGAACUGAAGAUUACGAGGCAAAAAUCUUCUUUCUUCCGCACCCGUUGAGUGGCUCCCACUCCACAGGAGGAGGUGAACCAUGAAGAAGCCCACCCGAUUCUCCUCACGGC